UCCCAGGCGGCCCACAGUCUAGACUCCUGUCCUGGCUUUACCUCCCAGCAUAGUCUGAAAUGUGCCUGCGCUCUGGUUGGACUGGCCUCAGUACUCCAUCUGCCUGCUGCCCCCAGGCCACCAUAUGCUGUAGAAGAGAUCACUGAAGCCAGAAAUCCUCAAUUCCCACAGUCCCUGACCUCCUGACGCUCCCCUUCCCACCAUUUACACUGAUGUUUCCCUUCCUUCUCUUCCAGGACAGUGGAAGAGAUGCUCUUCCUUCAGUCAAGGGCAUCUCCUAUAAAAUACCCUUUUGUUCUUGUGUAUUUUCAAACAUUCUCUCCUGGUUCCUUCAGAUCUCUGCCAACUUGAGCUCUAUAUCCCAUGCCCCUCUCCAGCUACUACCCUCUCUCUAUCCAGCUUCCAGCUCCCCUGUCCCCCCAAAGCCAAACUUCCUUAAGUGCCACCAUCAUUUUUUCUCACCAUUUUCUUAUUCUUUACCUCACUCUGUUUGACUUUUUCCCAACUAUAAUGGGGUUGAAAUGACUUUCACCAAGGUCACGAUGCCAAGUCAUUGUUUACUAAAAGCUGUAGACAUUUUAGUAUUUUUCUUUCUUGACUUCUUGACUUUUACCCUGUUGACACUUGGUCCCCUCUGAAGCUGUCUCUUGACUUCUAUGGCAUUAAACUUUUGAAGUUCC